rnacentral:rRNA from 1 species
AGAUGGGUCUCGGUGCAGGUGGUUGGCUGGAUAUUGCCGCUGAAGGGGACGGUUGACGCCGUUUUUAUUUUACGCGUCAAGUAGAGCCUGACUACCCGCUUAAUUUAAGCAUAU